rnacentral:misc_RNA from 1 species
GCAAACUUGGUCAUUUAGAGGAAGUAAAAGUCGUAACAAGGUUUCCGUAGGUGAACCUGCGGAAGGAUCAUUAUCGAAUUCUGUUUUGAGAGGAACUCGGAAGCGCAUGCUGUCGCUGGCCUUCCUUUUCGUGAAGGAAAAGGCACUGUGCACGCUUGUGACUUGUUCCGAUCUCAAUAGCCUUCUUUCCACACACACUUGUGCACUCUCGUCGUAGGCUCUGAAAAAGCCUACGUUCUUUUAACAACACACACAUAUGCAUGUCUACAGAAUGUCUUUUUUUACAACUAACUGCACCCGCUUCCUUGGGAAGUCGGUCAGUAAGUAAAGAAGUUAAUUACAACUUUCAGCAACGGAUCUCUUGGCUCUCGCAUCGAUGAAGAACGCAGC